GAUGAACGCUAGCGGGAGGCCUAACACAUGCAAGCCGAGCGGUAUUUGUUCUUCGGAACAGAGAGAGCGGCGCACGGGUGCGGAACACGUGUGCAACCUGCCUUUAUCUGGGGGAUAGCCUUUCGAAAGGAAGAUUAAUACCCCAUAAUAUAUUGAGUGGCAUCACUUGAUAUUGAAAACUCCGGUGGAUAGAGAUGGGCACGCGCAAGAUUAGAUAGUUGGUGAGGUAACGGCUCACCAAGUCAAUGAUCUUUAGGGGGCCUGAGAGGGUGACCCCCCACACUGGUACUGAGACACGGACCAGACUCCUACGGGAGGCAGCAGUGAGGAAUAUUAGACAAUGGGUUAGCGCCUGAUCCAGCCAUCCCGCGUGAAGGACGACGGCCCUAUGGGUUGUAAACUUCUUUUGUAUAGGGAUAAACCUACUCUCGUGAGAGUAGCUGAAGGUACUAUACGAAUAAGCACCGGCUAACUCCGU
rnacentral:rRNA from 1 species